UUAAAGACAAUUUGUAAAUUAAACUCGUUUAGUGGUUUACUAGAAAUGGUAAUUAGGUUGGAAGUGCCAUUGUUUGUGGGGGAAAGUACGGAAUUUGUGUUAAUUUCCCCGGUAACUCGAAUAAGAGCGUCGGCCACCACGUUUUGUGAACCUUUUUUGUAAACCACCUCGUAGUCAUAUUCUAAUAAUUGGAGUUUCCAUCGGACCAGUUUUGAAUUUGGUUCUUUGAAAUUCAUGAGCCAAAUAAGGGCGGAAGUGUUUUGUGGACCAGAUUAUAGCUAACAUUUCCUUCUCUACGGUGGAGUAAUUUGUUUCUGUAUCUGACAGUGUUCUACUUGCGAAUGAUACCGGUUUGUCCUGAUUAAGAGUGCCCUGGGACAAGACUGCCCCGAUGUCAAAAUUGCUAGCAUCUGUGAUUUGCUGAUUGGCGCCAGUCUCUUCUACGAACUGCUUCAAGCUUUGUCUAGCUUCUGCCAGGAUUGCCGCUAACGUAACAGACUCGGUUAGGCCGGGUUGUUUCUGAAGGUUAAAAUCGCUCGGAUGACAAG